rnacentral:rRNA from 1 species
GAGUUUGAUCAUGGCUCAGAAUGAACGCUGGCGGCGUGCUUAACACAUGCAAGUCGCACGAGAACGCUUCAGCUUGCUGGAGCUAGUAAAGUGGCGCACGGGUGAGUCCCGCGUGGGUAAUCUACCUCCGAAUUGGGGAUAACACUGCGAAAGCGGUGCUAAUACCGAAUGACAUCCCAGGGACCUUGGUUUCGGGGAUCAAAGGUGGCCUCUACAUGUAAGCUACUGUUUGGAGAUGAGCCCGCGUACCAUUAGCUAGUUGGUAGGGUAAUGGCCUACCAAGGCUGCGAUGGUUAGCUGGUCUGAGAGGAUGAUCAGCCACACUGGAACUGACACACGGUCCAGACUCCUACGGGAGGCAGCAGUGAGGAAUUUUGCGCAAUGGGGGAAACCCUGACGCAGCAACGCCGCGUGAGUGAUGAAGGCUUUCGGGUCGUAAAGCUCUGUCAAGUGGGAAGAAUAUGCCCUGUGAUAAUACCAUGGGGCACUGACGGUACCACUGAAGGAAGCACCGGCUAACUCCGUGCCAGCAGCCGCGGUAAUACGGGGGGUGCAAGCGUUAUUCGGAAUCAUUGGGCGUAAAGGGCGCGUAGGCGGCCCCUUAAGUCAGAUGUGAAAGCCCUCAGCUUAACUGAGGAAGUGCAUUUGAAACUAA